AGCUAUCAUUUUUUUCAUUCUUUCUUCUUCAACCGUGGGAAAGAACUGAAAAUGGCAGCCAUGGAUGAGCUCCAUUCAGCCAAGCUUCUAUGGCUUAUAUAGAUGAUGAAAAUUGAGACUUGGACCUAGAACGGAAAGAAAUCGAUUUAUGGACGAGUAUGUCCUUUUCACCUUUGUGGUAUCGAGAGUUUCCAGGUUAGCUCGGGUUGGAGGCCGUCAGAGAUAUUAUCACCCUAUCGAGUUAACGUUAUCGGAGUAAGUAAACUCAAGUGAUUCGAGUCUAUGGCAUGUAUAGGGUUUUAAUGUGAGUAUGUAAUAUUAUGAUUUAGCCAAAGGCAUUGGCUUGUUAUUAAGGUAGUAUUAGUCAUGUAAAUUGGCCUAUGUCGGCUAAUGACAUUAUGGGCCCAUAUGAUUAUUCUUAUGCAUGUAUGUUAUUAUCUCUUGUGAUGUGGCUUACAACAUGUAUGCCUAGAGAUUGAAUUGAGAUUCAUUGAUGAGCUAGUAACUAAUGCAGGAUUAAGUGAUUGGUAAAUAGUUAAUAA